GGAGAAAACCUGAUAUUUGGACCU
rnacentral:miRNA from 1 species